ACGAAAAAAAAAUGGUAGUCCGUUGGA
rnacentral:sRNA from 1 species